ACGCUGGCGGCGUGCCUAAUACAUGCAAGUCGAGCGAACAGAAGCAGCAGAAUUACUUCGGUAAGGACGCUGUGGAAGUUAGCGGCGGAUGGGUGAGUAACACGUGGGUAACCUACCCUUAAGACUGGGAUAUCACUUGGAAACAGGUGCUAAUACCGGAUAGGAGUAUGAGCUGCAUGGCUUAUACUUUAAAGGCGGCGAAAGCUGUCACUAAAGGAUGGACCCGCGGUGCAUUAGCUAGUUGGUAAGGUAACGGCUUACCAAGGCGACGAUGCAUAGCCGAGUUGAGAGACUGAUCGGCCACAUUGGGACUGAGACACGGCCCAAACUCCUACGGGAGGCAGCAGUAGGGAAUCUUCCACAAUGGACGCAAGUCUGAUGGAGCAACGCCGCGUGAGUGAAGAAGGUUUUCGGAUCGUAAAGCUCUGUUGUUGGUGAAGAAGGAUAUAGGUAGUAACUGGCCUAUAUUUGACGGUAAUCAACCAGAAAGUCACGGCUAACUACGUGCCAGCAGCCGCGGUAAUACGUAGGUGGCAAGCGUUGUCCGGAUUUAUUGGGCGUAAAGCGAGCGCAGGCGGAGAAAUAAGUCUGAUGUGAAAGCCCACGGCUCAACCGUGGAACUGCAUCGGAAACUGUUUUUCUUGAGUGCAGAAGAGGAGAGUGGAACUCCAUGUGUAGCGGUGGAAUGCGUAGAUAUAUGGAAGAACACCAGUGGUGAAGGCGGCUCUCUGGUCUGCAACUGACGCUGAGGCUCGAAAGCAUGGGUAGCGAACAGGAUUAGAUACCCUGGUAGUCCAUGCCGUAAACGAUGAGUGCUAAGUGUUGGGAGGUUUCCGCCUCUCAGUGCUGCAGCUAACGCAUUAAGCACUCCGCCUGGGGAGUACGACCGCAAGGUUGAAACUCAAAGGAAUUGACGGGGGC
rnacentral:rRNA from 1 species